GAAUGAGGUGCAGUGGUUUGAGCACCGGACUAUGACUCUGGAGACCAGGGUUCAAUUGCCUUCUCAGCCA